rnacentral:rRNA from 1 species
CAACAAAUGGUCAGCGGCAGAUGCAAGACGGAGGGGUCGGGGGUGGUCUGGAAAGUAUGUGCGGAAAGUGCUCGUAGGAGGGUGGUCGCAUCGAGCGAGGAAACCUGUGGCUUAACUGUGUGCGUGCGGGCGAUACGGGCAUCACUGGAGUUCGGCAAGAGAGACCUGAAGUCCGAGUGUAGCGGUGAAAUGCGCAGAUAUCAGGAGGAACACCGGUGGCGAAGGCGGGUCUCUGGGCCGAUACUGACGCUGAGGAGCGAAAGCGUGGGGAGCGAACAGGAUUAGAUACCCCGGUAGUC